rnacentral:SRP_RNA from 1 species
GUGUAGAAUAGGCUGGGGGGUCAGGCGUCCCCUGUUACCGGAAAUCGUCUUCAGCCGGAGCCGAAGUCGAGAGGCGGUGUUGCAUGCAGCUGCUGAUCCGCCUGCAGACUAUGAGACCUUGUCCUUCGGGAUCGAAGGUGAAGGUAGCAUGCAACUGGAGGGUUGCAUGCCCUUCUUUAUUGCGGGGACCAGGCCAGGCCCGGAAGGGAGCAGCCUCACCGCAAACUCUCGAUGCUCGAAGGGUUAGCAGGGUCGAGAAAGCAGGUGGGUAAAUCAGUAUGCUGCAAUGCACAUCCACUCGAGACGCUUCUACAC